rnacentral:rRNA from 1 species
GACGAGUCUCACGAACGUUAUUCGGAAUUACUGGGCUUAAAGGGUGCGUAGGCGGUGGAGUAAGUCGGGUGUGAAAUACCUUCGCUCAACGAGGGAACUGCACUCGAUACUACUUUGCUAGAGUAAGACAGAGGUGAGUGGAACUGAGGGUGGAGCGGUGAAAUGCGUUGAUAUCCUCAGGAACACCGGUGGCGAAGGCGACUCACUGGGUCUUUACUGACGCUGAUGCACGAAAGCUAGGGUAGCAAACGGG